AUGGUGGAACAAAUCAACCAAGCAUUUCAGUAUUUCAUGGUGACCAGUCUUUGCCUGACUUUCUCACUAGUGCAUUUCUACAUUUUGAAGGAGAUUGGAAGAAAGGAAUCAAUCCAAGAGUUGAAAAUGGAAACAAACUGGUGUGAGAAAGAGACCUGGAGACAUACUGAAGCUAUAUAUGGACCUCUUCUUCAGGAGUUGACCAGAAAAUGUUAAGGUCAGAUUCUUAUUAAAAUUUAACAUUUCUAAAAUCCAUUAUUUAUUGGAACCAAACAGAUAAUUGAUUAUUGUUCCUUUCUUGCCAGAUGAAAUUUUCAAGCCAAGACUUAGAAGUAUGUAUGACGUUUAACAAUUCUUUGCUUAUAUAUGGAUUUAUUUCCAGGCUGGAAAGAGAUUUUUAAAAAUAAAGUUCUUUCAUUAGUGAGUGGCAAAAAGAAAGUUUAGACAUUAUGGAUUUUAACAUGAUUUUAAAAUGUAAACAACACAAUUUUCUUUAAAAACCCUCGUGAUUUAGGGGAUGAUAGUUCUGAAAUUAAUCCAAAAGAGAGAAAUGGGACAAAUGUCACAGGCAAAUAUGAUAAACAUGAAGGUAGGUCCUCAGUGGUAUCCUUUACUGCAAUUGAAGAAAAAAUUGCAAUUGAAAUAAAAAUGUGUACUUUACAAACAAAAGAUAUGGUCAAGAUGGCAAUUCAGAGGUAAGAAACAACCUUUAGUUUUUAACAGAUUUGUGUCCAGAAGAAAGGAAUCCAGCAGAUAAGGUAAGAAUGUCAAGAUUUUAGGCUACCAAAGUCUAUCCUAACUUUGUCUAGAUUUUUGUCCUGGAAAAGUAUGAGAUUCCAUGGUUUUGAUCAUGAUGAAGCAUGAAGCAAACCAUGAUCAAACAUGCAACAAAAGAACAACUUCAGGAAGAUAAGAAUCUUUCCAGUGACCUUACAAACUUGUUGGUAAGUCUUUACAAGGUAUGUUUCUUAGAGAGAGAAGUGCACAUCUUGGAAAAUGCUUUCCUUUAGUCCAUUGAACAGUAUUUCAGGAUAUUCGGUUGCCAAAGUCCCUAACUUUGUCUAGAUAUUUACUGGGAAAAUAUGAGAUUUCAGGUAUCUGACAACCUUCAAGAAGCAGCAAACGUAACACAAAUCUAAGGGAAAGAACAAGACUUGCUUCAGGAAGGUAUUAAGCUCCUUUGGGGAACUUAACAAACAUAUUGGUAAGUCUCCAUGAGGUAAGUUUCUCAAUUGAAAGAAUUCACACCCAAGAAAAUACUCAAGUAGCUAAAGAUUUAUUUUACCACUUUGUACUUGGAUAUAACCUUUUUGUAGACAUGAAAGUGAGUUUUCCUAUUUUGAAAGAACUGCAAACCAAUCCUGUUGUGUCUAAUAAAAGCAUCUGGAAAAAAGAUGAAAUAUUGCAAAAAUUUACAGUGACUAAAGUCUCUGCCUUACAUUCCUCAGCUUUCUAUGGAGAAAGGAAUCAAAGAACUUAGGUAAGAAAUUCAUUAUCCCCACUACCUAAAGGUUGCCAUUUAUUUUAUGGUCUGGCUCCCUCCUUAAUAUUUUAUUCAUCUUUG
rnacentral:lncRNA from 11 species